ensembl:lncRNA
GCCAGGAGUUUUAGCUUAGAAGUGAUUCCAGAACAUUUUCAGUGAACUCUGAGCCAGGAAUGGAUGAAAAAUCCUAUCUUAGUGAGGAGGUGUGGUUGACCCCGUUGCUAGAAAAUGGAGAAAAAAAGGAAUCGCAAGCCGAACUGGACUGAGGAGCAAUGUUUGUUGCUGGCCCAGUUGGUGAACGAACAUAAAGGCGACGAUUGUGAGAAAAGGUGGUAUGUGCUGCAGUCCAAGGCAAAAGAUGAGAUUGCAGCACACAAGCGGGAAUCCUCACUCACAGGUGAGCAAAAUACUAUGGCCUACCACAUAAUCUGGCAACUUGCUCCUGCUGGCAAAGUUAAUUUACAUGCCUAAGUACUGUGUUCAUUGACUGUUUCUUUCUAGGGGGGUGGACCACCUGCAAAGCGGCUGUCCCAGGUGGCCGACACUGUCUUUCAAGUCCUGGGACACUCUGAGGUCAGUGUCACCGGGCUGCCAACAGGCAUUGACACGUCAAUGAUGCAGGCCCUUGAAAUGCAGCAAAGCAUUGAGCCAUCACAAGAACCGGGCCCAUCAAGUUUGCCGCCUGAACCAUCUGCAGCUGCUACUCAGGAUAGCCCGGCGGAUCAAACACCAUUCCCAUCCGCAGCACCUGCUCCGUCAGCAUCCCUGCAGGAGAGAAGAUUGCAACUCACAAUUGAUGUGUUUGAACAACAAAAAAAAAGUCCUUUCCCUUCAGGAGGAGUACUACCGCCUUAAAAUUGAACACC